AGGGCUAGGGAGGGGGCUAAACACCCCUUCCUCUGCUCAAAUUUACUGCUGGCUGCAACUGUGGACUACAAAUCCCAGAAGCACCUGGAAGCAGGAAAAGGAAGUUAUGAAACCUUGAAGAGUCUUGCUAUUGUGAUUCUGGACUGCAAGUCCCAGAGACCUUGGGGGCAGCAGGAAGAGGAAGUGAACACAACCAGAGAGCCGUGCUCUAGUGCCCCCUGGCUUCUGGCCUGAGCCACUGCAGGCAUGUGGCUGCAUUCCCUGAAUCAAAGGCGGAGUUAGAAAACAGCAAGUUGACACAGACCUAUUACUUUUUCUGAGCAGCAGAGAACUUUUUUCGGGUAAGCCAUUUCUUUGAGGCAGAAGAGUAAGAAUCACAUAACGCCUUGAGUCUAAUCGUGCAGGCCUCAGGAGGAAGAGGAAAAAUAUACUUGAAAUGAUCUGUAACACCCACUUCUACCUUCUUUUUUUUUAGACUCUAAGUUCUUUGCAAAAGGAAUAAUUUUCAAAAGAUUUUUUUCAAAUUUUUGUUGUUGUAGCUUGAUUGAUAAGAAAAAAAUGAAAAGACAUUUGGAUGUCUCUCUUUACUUCAGCCUGAAACAAUUUAAAUCAGUCAAACUGACACCAGUAUUGUAAUCAAGAAGGGACAACUGAAAUGACUGCAUGAUCACAUUGUUUCUCUCAGUCAGUAAACAAAAAUAUUUCUAUAGUUGAA